GUGCCAGCAGCCGCGGUAAUAUAUACGGGUCAUGCGUUGUCCGGAUUUAUUGGGCGUAAAGAGCUCGUAGGCGGUUCAACAAGUCGGUCGUAAAAGUUUAGGGCUCAACCCUAAAAUGUCGAUCGAUACUGUUGUGACUAGGAUACGGUAGAGGUGAAUGGAAUUCCGAGUGUAGCGGUGAAAUGCGUAGAUAUUCGGAGGAACACCAAUUGCGAAGGCAGUUCACUGGACCGUGAUCGACGCUGAGGAGCGAAGGCUAGGGGAGCAAACAGGGUUAGAUA
rnacentral:rRNA from 1 species